rnacentral:ncRNA from 1 species
UGUCUUCGGGGCGGGGUGCGAUUCCCCACCGGCAGUAUAGUCUGCGAGCCAAUCGGCUGAACCGGUGCGAUUCCGGUACCGACGGUAUAGUCCGGAUGAGAGAGGAU